CUGUGUCCUAAACGAUCCUGAAGUUCCUGGGAAUUGAUAUCUUUGUCUUCUUGGUGGUAUUCUUCCGUUUUCCGUUAAACAAUUUGGCAUUUCUUUUGUAAGAACUGCAGGUAGUACUACAAUUUUGAUCUAGAGGUUGUCUUGAGGGUUUGGUUAGUGAUCCAUAAGAUCCCGUGUUAAGGGAAGAGACUGAGCAGAUGAUGUGAAAAUGGUGAGCAUUCUAUUGGUUAUGCUUGAGUUUCUUUCUUUAGUUUACCUCUACUUUCCGGGAUCUAUUUUCUUUAGACAAUGGUACUAAAUGCUCUAUGGUGAGCGUUAAUUGUCUGUAGUUUUUUUUAAAAAAAGAUCUUCGCUUUCUACUUGACCAGUUAAUUAUAUAAAGUACCAUUGUUCGUGAAUUUUUUUCUAAGUCAAAAGUAAGAGCAAAUUUUGUGUGGAGUAGCUUUUGACAUGUCAUUUCUUUUCUAUAGAUUUCCUUGAUAAACUUUAGUUUCACAAGCCAUAAAUCUUCUGUUUGAGUUGUUGGAGGAAUCCAAUAAAUAUUCAAGAAUUUUAUGGAUGCUCUUUCUUUGACAAUGGUAUAAUACAUCGGUUAGAAUGAAUAACUAAUAAAACUAUGAGAGUGCGAGAAGAGUUCUUCCACUAGAAUUUUCAGUGGUAAAAUUCUAUUCAGCUAACGAGCAUCUGCUUGCAGGAUUGCAGACAUCUUGGAUUUACCUGCGGCAUGCCUAUGGUGUUGGUUUGAUUGAAUUUUGUGAUGCAUUUCUUCCUUCCUUUUUCUUCUUCUUGGUGGGGAGGAGGGUAAAUGCAUUUGUGCUUCUGCAUUUUACUCCUUCCUGUUUAUGUCUUUCUUUGUUAAUGUGAACUUGCUAUCAUUUUGGGAAUUGGUGAGGAAAAAGGAGCAGAAUGCUUCAAAUGUGACCCUGCUGGUGAUUUUUGUGGUCAUAAGUUAUUUUCUGAGCUUAAUUUCCCUUUCAAGGUAAAAACUGAUUUAAAUUUUUUCGUGUUUAUAACUAGCUUUCUGGUUUACUGCCUUCCACUGUGGAGUAGCUUUUGACAUGUCAUUUCUUUUCUAUAGAUUUCCUUGAUAAGCUUUAGUUUCACAAGCCAUAAAUCUUCUGUUUGAGUUGUUGGAGGAAUCCAAUAAAUAUUCAAGAAUUUUAUGGAUGCUCUUUCUUUGACAAUGGUAUAAUACAUCGGCUAGAAUGAAUAACUAAUAAAACUAUGAGAGUGCGAGAAGAGUUCUUCCACUAGAAUUUUCAGUGGUAAAAUUCUAUUCAGCUAACGAGCAUCUGCUUGCAGGAUUGCAGACAUCUUGGAUUUACCUGCGGCAUGCCUAUGGUGUUGGUUUGAUUGAAUUUUGUGAUGCAUUUCCUCCUUCCUUUUCUUCUUCUUGGUGGGGAGGAGGGUAAAUGCAUUUGUGCUUCUGCAUUUUACUCAUUCCUGUUUAUGUCUUUCUUUGUUAAUGUGAACUUGCUAUCAUUUUGGGAAUUGGUGAGGAAAAAGGAGCAGAAUGCUUCAAAUGUGACCCUGCUGGUGAUUUUUGUGGUCAUAAAUUGUUUUCUGAGCUUAAUUUCCCUUUCAAGGUAAAAACUGAUUUAAAUUUGUUCGUGUUUAUAACUAGCUUUCUGGUUUUCUGCCUUCCACUGUGAUGGUUAUAAGAAGGGUACUAUCCUGGUUCAUGAAGUUAACUGUGGCUGUUGCUCCUCGCCAUUGUAUCCUUAUCAGCUUCAUUCAUGUAUAAAUGCAUGCCAGACUAAGAAAAUGGAUAAGUUAAGAUUUUCAAGCAUAAAUGUAGUUCUUUGCUAUAUCAUCUAUUUUAUUACACAAAUCUCAAAUUUGGAAGGUUGCCUCAUCUUUUAGAUCCUAAUUGACUAUGAUGCAAGUAGGUCAAGAUUAGACCCUUUUGACUCUGUUACAGUCUGAUCUAUUGUGAAGUUAAUGUAAAUACAUCUUAGGUUUUUUUUGUUUAGACUGGAGAAGCUACACUAGAACCAAUAACUCCUUUGAAAAGAAAAGAAAAUUUGAAUAUGUUUUUGCCUUUUCAAUAUAUUUACUUUGACAUUGACAUUUAUGUUAACAGGUUAUGCUUUGCUGUUGUUAUUGUUAAGUGGUUGGCAUGCAUAUGUUUCUGGUGUGAAAAAAUCCUGGUAGGGAGCACUUCCCCCUCUGAUGGGCCUUGCGCAACACGAAUCCGGAUUAGUCGAAGCUCUAACGCGGAUACAAAACAACAGUUGGGAAAUCAAAAAAGAAAAAGGACCCUCUUAUGUUUAGGUGAAUUUUUGUUUUUUUGGUUGUAUGCGUUAGAUCUCCUGGGUGUUCAAGUAAUGGCUUUUCCUCUUUGUUUUUGUUCACUCUUUCUUCUCACUAUUAUGUCGUGAGUAGUUCUUAUACUUGUCACACCCUCUUUUCUACCCACAAAAUAUUAUGUGUUAUUAUGGAUUGUAAAAAUUAGGUGCUCACAGCACUCAUAGUACCGUUAGCCUGAUUGAAUUUCAAAUGUAACGCGGUCUUAUGCGGGCA